UCGCAAUGCCCGAAAGGGUGACGAAGCGACGCCGCGUGCGGGAAGAAGGCCUUCGGGUUGUAAACCGCUGUCAGGAGUUAGGAAAUGCAAGGUGGUUAAUAGUCACUUUGCUUGACUAAGGCUCCAGAGGAAGCCACGGCUAACUCUGUGCCAGCAGCCGCGGUAAUACAGAGGCGGCAAGCGUUGUUCGGAAUUAUUGGGCGUAAAGAGCACGUAGGCGGCUCCGUAAGUCAGUUGUGAAAGCCUUCCGCUUAACGGAAGAACGGCUUCUGGUACUGCGGGGCUAGAGUACGGAAGGGGAGAGUGGAACUUCUGGUGGAGCGGUGAAAUGCGUAGAUAUCAGAAGGAACGCCGGCGGCGAAAGCGACUCUCUGGUCCGAAACUGACGCUGAGGUGCGAAAGCUAGGGGAGCAAACGGGAUUAGAUACCCCGGUAGUCCUAGCCGUAAACGAUGGGCACUAAGUAGAGGGGU
rnacentral:rRNA from 1 species